GACGAGGGAUCCUAGCGUUGUUCGGAAUCAUUGGGCGUAAAGCGGGUGUAGGUGGCUUGGUAAGUCAGGUGUGAAAGCCCAGGGCUUAACCCUGGAAGUGCAUUUGAAACUGCCGAGCUUGAGUGUGGGAGAGGAUAGUGGAAUUCCUGGUGUAGUGGUGAAAUACGUAGAUAUCAGGAGGAACAUCGGUGGCGAAGGCGGCUAUCUGGCCCAACACUGACACUCAGACCCGAAAGCGUGGGGAUCAAACAGG
rnacentral:rRNA from 1 species